rnacentral:rRNA from 1 species
UCGAGGAUCUUUGGCAAUGGACGCAAGUCUGACCAAGCGACGCCGCGUGUGCGAUGAAGGCCUUCGGGUUGUAAAGCACUGUCGAGGGGGAGGAAGCCGCAAGGUUGACCUAUCCCUGGAGGAAGCACGGGCUAAGUUCGUGCCAGCAGCCGCGGUAAGACGAACCGUGCAAACGUUAUUCGGAAUCACUGGGCUUAAAGGGCGCGUAGGCGGGCAACCAAGUCCGGGGUGAAAUCCUCCAGCUCAACUGGAGAAGUGCCUUGGAUACUGGUGGCCUCGAGGAGGGUAGGGGCAUCUGGAACUAGCGGUGGAGCGGUGAAAUGCGUUGAUAUCGCUAGGAACUCCGGUGGCGAAGGCGAGGUGCUGGACCCUUUCUGACGCUGAGGCGCGAAAGCCAGGGGAGCGAACGG